rnacentral:rRNA from 2 species
AGUAACGGCGAGUGAAGCGGCAACAGCUCAAAUUUGAAAUCUGGCUCUCGGGCCCGAGUUGUAAUUUGUAGAGGAUACUUUUGAUGCGGUGCCUUCCGAGUUCCCUGGAACGGGACGCCAUAGAGGGUGAGAGCCCCGUCUGGUUGGAUGCCAAAUCUCUGUAAAGUUCCUUCGACGAGUCGAGUAGUUUGGGAAUGCUGCUCUAAAUGGGAGGUAUAUGUCUUCUAAAGCUAAAUAUUGGCCAGAGACCGAUAGCGCACAAGUAGAGUGAUCGAAAGAUGAAAAGCACUUUGAAAAGAGAGUUAAAAAGUACGUGAAAUUGUUGAAAGGGAAGCGUUUAUGACCAGACUUGGACUUGGUUAAUCAUCUGGGGUUCUCCCCAGUGCACUUCUCCAGUUCAGGCCAGCAUCAGUUUUCGCCGGGGGAUAAAGGCAGCGGGAAUGUGGCUCUCUUCGGGGAGUGUUAUAGCCCGUUGUGUAAUACCCUGGUGGGGACUGAGGUUCGCGCUUCUGCAAGGAUGCUGGCGUAAUGGUCAUCAACGACCCGUCUUGAAACACGGACCAAGGAGUCGUCUUCGUAUGCGAGUGUUCGGGUGUCAAACCCCUACGCGUAAUGAAAGUGAACGCAGGUGAGAGCUUCGGCGCAUCAUCGACCGAUCCUGAUGUUCUCGGAUGGAUUUGAGUAAGAGCAUACGGGGCCGGACCCGAAAGAAGGUGAACUAUGCCUGUAUAGGGUGAAGCCAGAGGAAACUCUGGUGGAGGCUCGCAGCGGUUCUGACGUGCAAAUCGAUCGUCAAAUAU